rnacentral:rRNA from 1 species
GUGAAACCGCAAAAGGCUCAGUAAACCAGUCAUGAUUCACUCGAGUAUACAUGACUGUCUUUGGAUAACUGUGGUAAUCCUAGAGCUAAUACAUGCAAUCAAGUCCCGACCAGUCUGACUGGGAAGGACGCUUUUAUUAGAUCAAGACCAAUCGCCCGGCUCGUUCGGGCGUUGCCUUGGUGACUCUAGGUAACACAUCAGAUCGCACGGUCCUCGCACCGGCGACUUAUCCUUCAAAUGCCUGACUUAUCAACUGUCGAUGGUAGACUCUAUGUCUACCAUGGUUGUAACGGGUAACGGGGAAUCAGGGUUCGAUUCCGGAGAGGGAGCCUGAGAAACGGCUACCACAUCCAAGGAAGGCAGCAGGCACGCAAAUUACCCACUCCCGGCACGGGGAGGUAGUGACAAAAAAUAACGAUACGGGACUCUUAUGAGGCCCCGUAAUCGGAAUGAGUACACUUUAAAUCCUUUAACAAGGAUCCAUUGAAGGGCAAGUCUGGUGCCAGCAGCCGCGGUAAUUCCAGCUUCAAUAGCGUAUAUUAAAGUUGUUGCGGUUAAAAAGCUCGUAGUUGGUUCUGCGUGCCACGCUGUCGGUUCGCCGCCUGCCGGUGUAACUGGCAUGCCGUGGCAUGUCCUGUCGGUGGCGUUCGGGAGCCUCGUCUAGGCGACGGCCCUUGCCAAAAGCUUGGUGUCCGGAGGCCGGGGGUAUACCCGUUCGCCUACUCUAUCCUACCUAGGUGCUCUUUACCGAGUGUCGAGGUAGGCCGACACGUUUACUUUGAACAAAUUAGAGUGCUCAAAGCAGGCUGAAAUCUCUGCCUGAAUAGUGGUGCAUGGAAUAAUAAAACAGGACCUUGGUUCUAUUUUGUUGGUUCUUAGGAACACAAGGUAAUGAUCAAUACGGACAGGCGGGGGCAUUCGUAUUGCGACGUUAGAGGUGAAAUUCUUGGAUCGUCGCAAGACGCACAAGAGCGAAAGCAUUUGCCAAGUAUGUCUUGAUUGAUCAAGAAUACCGGAGGCCGGCCAGCGAUCCGCCGAUGUUCCUCCGAUGACUCGGCGGGGAGCUUCUUCCCGGGAAACCAAAGCUUUUGGGUUCCGGGGGAAGUAUGGUUGCAAAGCUGAAACUUAAAGGAAUUGACGGAAGGGCACCACCAGGAGUGGAGCCUGCGGCUUAAUUUGACUCAACACGGGAAACCUCACCAGGCCAGGACAUUGGAAGGAUUGACAGAUUGAUAGCUCUUUCUUGAUUCAGUGGGUAGUGGUGCAUGGCCGUUCUUAGUUGGUGGAUCGAUUUGUCUGGUUAAUUCCGAUAACGAACGAGACUCUAGCCUAUUAACUAGGCGUUUUCCGGUGUCCCCGCCACCGGCGACAAUCAUUCUUCUUAAGGGGACAGGCGGCUUAUAGCCGCACGAGAUUGAGCAAUAACAGGUCUGUGAUGCCCUUAGAUGUCCUGGGCCGCACGCGCGCUACACUGAAGGAAUCAGCGUGUGCCUCCCUGGCCGAAAGGCCCGGGUAAUCCGCUGAACCUCCUGCGUGCUAGGAAUUGGGGCUUGCAAUUGUUCCCCAUGAACGAGGAAUUCCCAGUAAGCGCGAGUCAUAAGCUCGCGUUGAUUACGUCCCUGCCCUUUGUACACACCGCCCGUCGCUACUACCGAUUGAAUGAUUUAGUGAGGUCUUCGGACUGGCGGUAAUCCCUACCGACUUGUCGGUAUCGAUGAACGCUGGAAAGAUGACCAAACUUGAUCAUUUAGAGGAAGUAAAAGUCGUAACAAGGUUUCCGUAGGUGAA